AAUAAUGUGAUGAUGAGAGAGAUAAAGUUAUACAGAAGAUCUGUUUAGUAGCAGUUGAGGUGGCAUGUGUGCAUCUUUAAAACUGAUAAAAUAAACGGUGUAGGAGGAGAUGUGUUUUCUUGAGACCACGUUUGAGGCGAAAUCUUACUUUGAAAGGACAAAUAGCUCACUUCCUGUUGGAAUCAGGUCAUGGGUGUCAAUGCGUGAUUUGUAAGUCAAACACACCAGUUUUGGUUUGAUCUUGAUACGACAUUCCUAUGGGCUGUAGUGGCCAUUUUAGUGCGUCUAGGUGGCGCUAGAGAGCCCAUUUUGGCACUGUAGGGGUUAAUAAUGUGUAUUUGCUGUUUCAAAUGAAGUUUCUGCUGCUGUAAUCUGUCCUUUAAAGAUUGUGAGACACACAGACAGAGAGCCGUGUGGCUGUGUGUGUGUGUGUGUGUGUGUGUGCAGCCGUUGUCAUGGCGAUUAAUGACUUGUCAGCACCUGUGGCACACACAGACAGCUAAGGAGAGCAGCUCACCAAAGGCUGUUUAUAAUGGGUUUUAACUCCUCGAACAAAUGCUUCGCAUGCCCAAACCGUUGGUC